UCGGAUGUGGUGCACGGUGCACGCUUGCCUUCGGUGCAUCGCUGCCCUCUGGCUGCAGCAAUAGGCCUGAGUUCGACUCUCAGCGUCCGAG